GUCCAGCUGAUGAGCCCCAAAUAGGACGAAACGCGCAUCCUGGAU
rnacentral:hammerhead_ribozyme from 1 species